rnacentral:lncRNA from 1 species
AAGUGAAGUAGCUAGCUCCUUAUAUCUCUGGAUGAUUAACUGCUCUUACCUUGGGCGUUUUUGCACUUACAACAGUAUAACGUUCUAAUUAGCAGGGUUUGGGUUGGCCAGGAUCAGGUAUGGUGAUGAGUUUUUGCACUUGACAGCAAUGGAACAGUUUGCUCGGUGAUGCAGAAGGCUAAGGCACUGAUCUUUCUAUAGGAGGAUCGGAGUUCAAGGCCCCUGUCUGCUGUGGAGAGGGGAUGAGCGCCCUCUACUGGCCUCUAGCUCCAGCCAACCUAGCUGUUCGAAAGCAAGUAAUUGCAAGUAGAUAAAUAGGGAGUAUCACAUUGUGUGAUGCGGAAGAUAGACAGAUGUAAGCCUUUGGGCAAAAAAUAACCUUGUAAGCCGCUUUGAGUCAGCUUCGGCCGAGAAAAGCAGGGUAUGAAAACCAAGUUCUUCUUCUUCUUCUUCUUCUUCUUCUUCUUCUUCUUCUUCUUCUUCUUCUUCUUCUUCUUCCAAGCUGACCAGCAGGGGGAGCAGUGCAAAUGGGAAUAUACUAGUUAAGUAGCUGUGUUUGAAUCCAGAGGAGCUGUGUUGGAACGUGUCCGAAACGGCUGCCAAGAUCCAGCCCCCAAAGUCUGAAUCUGGGUCCGAACUGUCUGACAGCACCUGCGCGCCCACGCAGUCCCUGCCCCACUGCUAGAAAGUGGUAUAAACGCACCUUUCCUGAUCUGCAUCUGACCAUGCAAGUCAGCUUCCAGGCCACAAUUUUCUUGACCAGCACUAUUUGGCUUCAGGUGAGCAUCAGGUGGGCUUUGGUAGGUUUCAAGUCAGCUGGGAUUGUUUGCAGGUGUGAAUACUCUGUACUAACAAGUGCCCCUUGUCUCCUUCCCAACAGCUGUCAUUACUGGCUGCUUAUUCUGACUUCGCUCACCAUCAUAUGGAAUUGUAUAAGUUCUUCUGUUGGAUUCAGUGUUUAGCAGCUCUCGACAUCUGUGUGUUAAAAUAGCUCAGGCAACUGGAUUCAACACUGAGAACGACAUAUGAUAUCAAAANGUUUGCUGACUAAACCAAACUUUGUUUUAACUUCAUUUGCUCAAUAAAGGUCUUUU